CGAGAUUGAAUUCGGGCUCGGCCGAUCCUCCCACCCUUUGUGUACCUACCUCUGUUGCUUUGGCGGGCCGCGGUCCUCCGCGGCCGCCCCCCUCCCCGGGGGGGUGGCCAGCGCCCGCCAGAGGACCAUCAAACUCCAGUCAGUAAACGAUGCAGUCUGAAAAACAUUUAAUAAACUAAAACUUUCAACAACGGAUCUCUUGGUUCUGGCAUCGAUGAAGAACGCAGCGAAAUGCGAUAAGUAAUGUGAAUUGCAGAAUUCAGUGAAUCAUCGAAUCUUUGAACGCACAUUGCGCCCUUUGGUAUUCCGAAGGGCAUGCCUGUUCGAGCGUCAUUACAACCCUCAAGCUCUGCUUGGUAUUGGGCACCGUCCUUUGCGGGCGCGCCUCAAAGACCUCGGCGGUGGCGUCUUGCCUCAAGCGUAGUAGAACAUACAUCUCGCUUCGGAGCGCAGGGCGUCGCCCGCCGGACGAACCUUCUGAACUUUUCUCAAGGUUGACCUCGGAUCAGGUAGGGAUACCCGCUGAACUUAAGCAUAUCAAUAAGCCGGAGGAA
rnacentral:rRNA from 1 species